AAAUUGAAGAGUUUGAUCAUGGCUCAGAUUGAACGCUGGCGGCAGGCCUAACACAUGCAAGUCGAACGGUAACAGGAAACAGCUUGCUGUUUCGCUGACGAGUGGCGGACGGGUGAGUAAUGUCUGGGAAACUGCCCGAUGGAGGGGGAUAACUACUGGAAACGGUAGCUAAUACCGCAUAACGUCGCAAGACCAAAGAGGGGGACCUUAGGGCCUCUUGCCAUCGGAUGUGCCCAGAUGGGAUU
rnacentral:rRNA from 1 species